rnacentral:rRNA from 1 species
AUUGAACGCUGGCGGCAGGCUUAACACAUGCAAGUCGAGCGGGGGAAGGUAGCUUGCUACCGGACCUAGCGGCGGACGGGUGAGUAAUGCUUAGGAAUCUGCCUAUUAGUGGGGGACAACAUCUCGAAAGGGAUGCUAAUACCGCAUACGCCCUACGGGAGAAAGCAGGGGAUCUUCGGACCUUGCGCUAAUAGAUGAGCCUAAGUCGGAUUAGCUAGUUGGUGGGGUAAAGGCCUACCAAGGCGACGAUCUGUAGCGGGUCUGAGAGGAUGAUCCGCCACACUGGGACUGAGACACGGCCCAGACUCCUACGGGAGGCAGCAGUGGGGAAUAUUGGACAAUGGGGGGAACCCUGAUCCAGCCAUGCCGCGUGUGUGAAGAAGGCCUUAUGGUUGUAAAGCACUUUAAGCGAGGAGGAGGCUACUCUAGUUAAUACCUAGGGAUAGUGGACGUUACUCGCAGAAUAAGCACCGGCUAACUCUGUGCCAGCCGCCGCCGUAACAC